ACUCACCAUAUUACAGAUGGAGGCGAUGUUUCGGACAGUCAUUAGUCUAAAGGUUGCAGCGAUCCCGCACCGCCAUCUUUAUAAGCACAGAGCGUUGCCAUGUUACCAGGACAGCAGGAUAGCAAACAUCUGGCAACGAAGAGCCAUUUUUUGCAGAAGCAGAAUGUACUUCGUCCACAUGUGCCACAAUCUCAUGCCUCUGCCUUUGCAGGAGAGGAAGCCGGGAUAUCCCCUGGUACUCCGUGCAUUCAGCUACUAAUGGGAUAAAGAAUAUAAGGAAUGAACAGAAGUGGAAGCUGAAGACAUUCAGUGAAGGAUGAUGGCCAACUAUGUAAGAAGAAUCCCAGACGCACCAAGGAAGCCUAGAAGAACGGCACAGCUGUGCCACUAGGUGCCUCAUAAUGUGAUACACUAGGAAGAAGGGAGUUUUCUUGCCCCUAACAUUCAACUCAGAUCUCAUCAAGCCCAUUUACAGAAAAUAAAGAACCAAGUUAAAUGACACCAAAGGGAAGCAAGAAGGCAAAUCCAGAAUGCCAUAUUAUUCAGGCAUCAGAAGGAAUGAAGAAGGAGUCCAGCACUGCAUAGCACUGCUCUUGUCUGUUGGGCCUUGGAAACAUUAUGGUACUGCUUCCUUCUUCUGCGCGUGGGUGUCUGGCUCCGUUCUGGACAUUUAUCACCUGUCAGGAAGCUGGGUUUACUGCAAAACGUGAGGAGAGGAAAGAGGGCAAGACUCGGAGAGCUUCGGUGCAUCAUUGAGGGAUCAUUGUUUUCCAGCUACGUUGGGGGGAAAAAAAAAAGCAACACGAGGCCUCCGAGAUGGUCUGAGAUUAAUGUGUUUGUGUGCAAGUGGGAAAAAACAAGCCCAUGUGAAAUGUGUCCCAUCCCAAACAGGGUGGAGAAAAGCAGUGUCAGAUUGUUGCCUGUUCACCCUUUUUAUCCAGAGGGCUUGGUGGCUGUUGGGAGAGGGCAGGCAAUGGAUCUUUUUUUUUUUUUUUUUUUUUUUUAAGAUUUUACUUAUUUAAUUUAGA